rnacentral:rRNA from 1 species
CCUACGGGAGGCAGCAGUGGGGAAUCUUGCGCAAUGGGCGAAAGCCUGACGCAGCCAUGCCGCGUGAAUGAUGAAGGUCUUAGGAUUGUAAAAUUCUUUCACCGAGGACGAUAAUGACGGUACUCGGAGAAGAAGCCCCGGCUAACUUCGUGCCAGCAGCCGCGGUAAUACGAAGGGGGCUAGCGUUGCUCGGAAUUACUGGGCGUAAAGGGAGCGUAGGCGGAUAGUUUAGUCAGAGGUGAAAGCCCAGGGCUCAACCUUGGAAUUGCCUUUGAUACUGGCUAUCUUGAGUACGGAAGAGGUAUGUGGAACUCCGAGUGUAGAGGUGAAAUUCGUAGAUAUUCGGAAGAACACCAGUGGCGAAGGCGACAUACUGGUCCGUUACUGACGCUGAGGCUCGAAAGCGUGGGGAGCAAACAGGAUUAGAUACCCUGGUAGUCCACGCUGUAAACGAUGAGUGCUAGUUGUCGGCAUGCAUGCAUGUCGGUGACGCAGCUAACGCAUUAAGCACUCCGCCGUGGGAGGUACGGUCGCGAAGAAGUUAAAACUACAAUAGAAGUUAGACGGCGUGAGACGUGACCGAACGGACGACGACGAGGGAGGUUAGG